UACGUAGGGUGCAAGCGUUAUUCGGAAUUACUGGGCGUAAAGCGUGCGCAGGCGGUUUUGUAAGUCUGUCGUGAAAUCCCCGGGCUUAACCUGGGAAUUGCGUUGGAGACUGCAAGGCUGGAGUCUGGCAGAGGGGGGUAGAAUUCCACGUGUAGCAGUGAAAUGCGUAGAGAUGUGGAGGAACACCGAUGGCGAAGGCAGCCCCCUGGGUCAAGACUGACGCUCAUGCGCGAAAGCGUGGGGAGCAAACAGG
rnacentral:rRNA from 1 species